rnacentral:rRNA from 1 species
GACGAACGCUGGCGGCGUGCUUAACACAUGCAAGUCGAACGGAAAGGCCCUGCUUUUGUGGGGUGCUCGAGUGGCGAACGGGUGAGUAACACGUGAGUAACCUGCCCUUGACCUUGGGAUAACUUCAGGAAACUGGGGCUAAUAUCGGAUAGGAGCUCCUGCUGCGUGGUGGGGGUUGGAAAGUUUCGGCGGUUGGGGAUGGACUCGCGGCUUAUCAGCUUGUUGGUGGGGUAGUGGCUUACCAAGUCUUUGAAGGGUAGCCGGCAUGAGAGGUUGGACGGCGACAAUGGGACUGAGAUACGGCGCAGUCUCCUACGGGAGGCAGCAGUGGGGAAUAUUGCACAAUGGGCGGAAGUCUGAUGCAGAAACGCCGCGUGCGGGAUGACGGCCUUCGGGUUGUAAACCGCUUUCGCCUGUGACGAAGCGUGAGUGACGGUAAUGGGUAAAGAAGCACCGGCUAACUACGUG